rnacentral:misc_RNA from 1 species
GGAGAGUGAGACAUCUCAUGCUUUGGAGAUUUAGUACGAGUUGAGCGUUUCUCUCUUGCUGAAGAGCUAUCCCUAUGGGAGCUCCGGUGUCGUGCUGCUGGUGAUCUUUCUCUUCGAGAUGGGCUCUUUCUAUGAGGAGAACCCCGACCUCUAAUGGGAGAUUGUGAAUGAUUAGACAAAUUACGCCCCAUUGGCAAUCACUGACUGUUCAGUUACGAACUUACCUCGGCGAGCUGGUAGUCAAUAAAGCAUCGCAAACGAAGUAUGAAACCCUAAAGCAGUAGCUGGCUGAUGAAAAAAAGAAGCCUGUAGUUGCUGCUACUCAAAACCUUUUUCAGUUUUGAACCGACUGAAG